GUCCACGCCCUAAACGAUGUCAACUGGUUGUUGGGAGGGUUUCUUCUCAGUAACGAAGCUAACGCGUGAAGUUGACCGCCUGGGGAGUACGGUCGCAAGAUUAAAACUCAAAGGAAUAGACGGGGACCCGCACAAGCGGUGGAGCAUGUGGUUUAAUUCGAAGAUACACGAAGAACCUUACCUGGGCUUGAUAUCCUAAGAAUCCUGUAGAGAUACGGGAGUGCUAGUUUACUAGAACUUAGAGACAGGUGCUGCACGGCUGUCGU
rnacentral:rRNA from 1 species